rnacentral:rRNA from 1 species
UACGGAGGGCGCAAGCGUUGUUCGGAAUCACUGGGCGUAAAGCGCGUGUAGGCGGCUUGGUAAGUCGGGUGUGAAAGCCCGGGGCCUAACCCCGGAACUGCACUCGAAACUGCCUCGCUAGAGUCUCGGAGAGGGUGGUGGAAUUCCCGGUGUAGAGGUGAAAUUCGUAGAUAUCGGGAGGAACACCAGCGGCGAAGGCGGCCACCUGGACGAUGACUGACGAUGAGACGCGAAAGCGUGGGGAGCAAACAGG